GUCCCCUUCAGAUGUAGGUCCAUAGGAAAUGGUACGGUUAGGGCAGAGCUACUGGCGUCAUGCUAUACAAUCCAUUGAUUGGUGGACAGGAAAACGUCAAGGCUCACGACAAAUGACACACUAGGCAUUUGGUUUAAACCCUGCAUGCCCCCUGGCGGUCUGACUUGCAGUGGAAACACUCACCUGAAUAGGCUGGACCAUUCUAACCCUUCCGAACCGUACCGAUCCGAACCAUACCGCUCAGUGGAAAUGAGGCAAAAGUAACAUGUUAGGAAGGCGAAUACAAAAACAUACCAAAAGAGGAGCAAUAAUGCGAUGAAUGGGAGAAAGACUUGGGAAGGGGAAAUGACAUAGAGAAGAACAGUAACAAGUGAUGGAGGAAGUAAAAAAGGUGAAAUGUUUAGGGAGGGGGAAAAAGAUUU